GCAAGCGUGAAUCUGGCAGCUAGGGCGUGCGAGAAAAAUUUUUCUCGUUUGCAUCUGGCUGCUUGCUGCUACUACCGAUACAGCUAACAGCCAAACUUCACGUAGCGGGAGAAGCAUAGUGGAUUAUUUACAACAAACCUGAUGGAAUAAAUGUACCGUGAAGUGAUAGUCAAAAUGUCUAACUCCUUAAACAGUUGGCUACAAGAUGACCAUGGUUCGAGAACGAUCAGUCACGGUGUAAGAAAUUUGGCUCGCCUGCUGAAAGAGGAACUCACGUACAAACUCUGCAGGAGCGUACCCAACCACUAGGAAAUAAUGAGGGCCGAUACAACAAUUACGUGCGCUGUUGCUUUUUUGUGCAUCUCUAAAUGACCAUUAAGAAGAUGCUGUGAUGUAAAUCCCGCAUCACAGAAUUCACACACAAAUG